rnacentral:lncRNA from 1 species
UGGCAGGCGCCUGUAAUUUUCCAGCUACUUGGGAGUCUGAGACAGGAGAAUCGCUUGAACCAGGAAGUGGAGGUUGCAGCAAGCCGAGAUCAUGCCACUGCGCUCCAGCUUCGGCAACAGAGCGAGACUCUGUCUCAAAAAAAAAAGCACCAGUCAGAGGGCCUCCAUUCUGGUAGCUUUAUGACAAGGUGGUGAGUUAGUUCUUGCCAUCCAGAUUCCCGGGACUGCCCUCUUCCUGUCUGUUCCUAAACCUGGUUCUCAUAUCCAGCUUCAGUUAGCUGGUGUCAGCUUCCGUUGCUUGUAGCCAGAGCUUCCUGAUGGAAUGUAGAGGCUGUUAUUGGACAGCGCGGCACCCAGGGUCUCAGCCACUUCAUCCAUCUGCAGACCUGGAUCCGCGGGCAUCGCUGUGGGCAGGUCUCAGAGACAGACAGUUGAAGGGAAAAUCGUGUUGCAGGAUGAUAGCAUCUGUGUACAUUUUCAAAGCACACGAAACACUGUAAACUGUUUACAGAUUCAAACAUAUGUAGUAAAAUUAUUAAAAUGAAAUGGGAAAUAUACACACCGAAUUUGUGUCAGUGGCCACCUCUGGGGAGGGGUACAAAGGAGACUUCACCUGGAUCUGCAAUGUUUUAUUUCCAAAAAAUAGACCCAAGGCAAGUAUGUGAUGCUACUGUGUUGGGUGUAUGGGUGUAUUCUCUGUGCUGCUCUGAAUUUUUGUCCUAAUAAAACGUCAGAUCAAACGAAGGACCUUCCUAGCUCUGAGGUGCAGGGAGUCAUGGGCUGAGAUCCUGGUGGGGCCCCAGGGGGACCUGGUAUGGAGCACAAGGAGACCCUGGCCUGGGACAGUUCAAUUUCAUAGGGAAUGAGGGUCAGGCCGGGAUAAACCAGGAGGCAGAGAGUGUGCGCAUGCGCCAUUCGGGUGGCCAGAGAAAGCCCAGGUAGGCAGGGGAGAGAAAGCCGCUGAUGACUGGAAGGUGGGCAUGGAGGGCAGGGUGGGAAGUGCUAGGACAAGACUUGUGAAAGGCGUGAUCCUGGCCUUGAAGGACAGCUAGGGGCUAGACACGUAGAUCAGUUUGCAGAAGGAUACACAUAACCAACUGGAAGCGUACACAUUAUUCUCUUGUCGUCGUUAUAACAAAGCAUAUUUUAAAAAUAAAAACUAAGAAAAACUUUAAAAAAUGAAAAAUACUGGAAAGGAUCAAGAAGAAAAUGACCAUCCAUAAUUUCAUCAUGCAGCUGUAAAUAACCACUUUGGACAUUUUAAUGCAGCUCCUCCUGUCUUGGCUACAAAAGACAGAUACUCUCUGAGAGUCAGGCAUCAGCGUAAAUACAGAGCAUUUUACACAAAGUCAAUGGGUUACCAUUUGUGCAGUGGUUUUCCUGUUGAAAACAGGUUUGUGAUCAUGAAAGGUACAAAAGACAGAAUAGCAAAUGCUUCAUAAUGUUUACUGUGGCAGGCAUGGUCCUAAAUGCUUUAUAUAUGCUAGCCCAUUCAAUCUUCACAACCCCAUAAAGUAUUUUGCUUUUGUGCUAUGAUGAAUUCCCAUUUUUCAGAUGAGGAAACUGAGGCCCAGGGAGCCUGUCCAAGGUUACAGAGCUGAUGUGUAUCUCUGGAUUUCAAAACUGAUGGCAGAAUAGAAACAACUCCGGUCUGCAGCUCCCAGCGUGAUC